AGCUGCGGUUUGCCUACACAUGCAAGUUGCACGGCGCCAUGCCUCUCGAGGAAUGGCGGAGUGGCGGACGGGUGAGGAACGCGUAAGGACCUGCCCCUGGGAGGGGGAUAACAGCUGGAAACGGCUGCUAAUACCCCAUAUCCUGAGGAGGGAAAGGAGAGAUCCGCCCAGGGAGGGGCUUGCGUCUGAUUAGCUAGUUGGGGGGGUAAUGGCCUCCCAAGGCAACGAUCAGUUGCUGGUCUGAGAGGAUGAUCAGCCACACUGGGACUGAGACACGGCCCAGACUCCUACGGGAGGCAGCAGUGAGGAAUCUUCCGCAAUGGGCGAAAGCCUGACGGGGCAAUGCCGCGUGGAGGAUGAAGGCCCAAUGGGUCGUAAACUUCUUUAGAUCAGAGACGAAGAGAUGACGGUACCUGAAGAACUAAGCAUCGGCUAAACCCCGUGCCAGCAGCCGCGGUAAGACGGGGGAUGCGAGCGUUAUCCGGAAUGAUUGGGCGUAAAGGGUCCGCAGGUGGCCCGGUCAGUCCGCUGUCAAAACCUGGGGCUCAACCCUGGACAGGCGGCGGAGACCACCGGGCUUGAGUCCGGUAGGGGCAGAGGGAAUUCCCGGUGGAGCGGUGAAA
rnacentral:rRNA from 1 species